rnacentral:lncRNA from 1 species
UAUGUGAAACUGUUAAAAAAUUAAUAAGGGAAUCAAGUGAAAUACACAAGGCAACAAAUGAAGGUAUUUUAUUAUAACAAAAUAGUUAUACGACAAAGAAUUGGACAGCGGCUAGGAUCUCUAUUUUAUCAUACGACAAAGAAAAACGUGUGUAAAAUAUACUUCACAACCGAAAGAAAUAUAUAUAUAUAUAUAUAUAUAUAUAUAUAUGUGGAUAAUUGGGCUCGCAAUUCAAGAAUCUCCUGGAUGAUGUUCAAAAACAUGCAUCCAAAACGCAACAGCAGCACAAGGCAGCACAGCAUCCCUUCCAGAAGCCAUCACCUUUUGACUUAGUUUCUACAGCUGCAUGUCCAUGGGGAUUUGGGCCAUCUCUUGUUGGAUAACCAGCAGGUGGUGGGGCCUGCACAAAAUAAGGACUUGGAGCUGUGGAAUGAGGUGGGGAAGGGUAUGCUGCGCCGGAGUUAUUAGCUGAUGAACUCAUGAUCUUUGAAUAUUAAUAUUCAGACAGAGAAGAAAAUAAUGAAAUUAAGGUAGAGAAGUAUUUGUGUUUUGGUUAUUUUGGAUGGAUAGUUGAUGAGAUGAAGCGCAGCUUAUAUAGCAAGAAAAGCAGAUGAGAAUUGUUGGAGUCGUUGUUUCUUAGAAGCUCGGUUGACACGGCGUGUAGCUUUGUUUAUGUGGCGAAGACAAAUCACAGCACAAGAUUGGCACACGGCAAAAGCC